CGGAUAUCUCGACUCGGGUGAUUAACGAUUGCAAAAGUAUUGUUUUGAGAUGGUUAGCAAGUAAACUUGAACCGUUACGUGCCAAAGAAGCCCUUAGAGGUUUAGCUAAUUGCAAUCUUAAUAAAGUUUGCCCAUUGGUUUUGCCAAAUGUCCGACCUGUCGCACAAGGUUGUGGAGAUGAGAUUAGCAACCAUACAUCAUGUUGUAAUGCAAUGGGAAGUUAUGUAUCUCACUUG